rnacentral:piRNA from 1 species
ACUACGGGUGAAACCCAAAGAGUUCAGCCACA